AUGUACCUCAAAUUGUGCUACUCAAACAUUGUAUUUGAUUUCCAAAGCCCCCUGGGCAUCCCCUAAUGUCUCCCUUCAUCCUGGGUAUGAAGCAUUUAUUGAACAGUCUGCUUUGACUGGGGCUAUCUUUCCAAAAGCACCCUCACAUUGUAAAUGUGGGACCAGCUUUCCUCCUCCUCCUUCUCCUCAGACAGCAACUUGUUCCUCUGCAGAGCACCGUGUGCCACGUCCCUGGGUUCAGUGAUGAUAUGUUACCUCACGGGCUCCUGCUCCCACACUGGCUGCUCUGUUGAGGGCUACGCUCCUGUGCCACUCAUGUAAAAAGGGGGAGGAUGUCUACAGAGCACACAUUAAUAUGCGGCACAUAACCACGUCUCUGAAUGCCAGCCUUCCAUUCUUCAUUAAACAAAAUGGCUGGAUUGCAGGGAUUGUUUUCCUCUCUACACACGCGCGCGCGCACACACACACUAGGCAUGCAGGCACGGACCCACACACCCCCACAUGCACUCAGCUUUCUCCCUGGCUCUCCCUCACACGCACAAACACGCUUUUCCUCAUGCACAUGAGCACACGCGCAUGCACACACGCGACCUUCCUGGCUGUCAUAGCACAUCGCUAUCGGUGGUGUGAGUUACGUGCGAAAAGUUGUCUGCGGCACGCGUGACAUACAAGGAGAUUCCUGCCGACGUCAGGCCCUUUUUUGCCAUGCAGCAACAAGUGGCAGAAUCAAUGGUGUACAGUUAUUCAGCAGUGUAAUUCAUUUCACUGGCUUUGGCUUCUAGCCAGAUCCGCCAUCUGUCUCUUGCUCUCCCUCUCUCUCUCUCGCCUGAAUUUGUCCUACAUUUCGUAAUGUUACGUGCUUGCCAUCCUUAUUCUAUGUCAGAGUUGCAGCACUAGUCUCACCCCUGUUCCGACGUGGAGUUCUUCGAGUUCGGUGGCACUUUGGAUAUUCCACUUCAGUGCCACGGCAAGAAAAGGAGUAUCUUCGUUUGCUUUAUUGGAUGCCGGCGCUGAACGCCACUGCACAGCUUCGUGGAAUGCCUGCUGUUGGAUGUUUGCAGAUCUCUGCCACCAAGCAACCUCCUGCAUUGGAAAUCGGGUGACUACUCCAGGAUCUUAUGCGUGCUUGCUGUUUGAAGCUGCAGAAAAGUGAAUAAUCAAUUAAGUAUUGAUUUCUUGUAAGAUUUGGUAAAUUUCAAAGGGAAGACAAAGAGGAUGGCUUAAGGAAAGCACUGCAGGGACUUGGCGUAAAUUAGACAACUAACAGCAGUGCAGAAUAAAAUAACACCUCAACUGAAUAUUUCCUUGGAAGAAUUAGCACCAGCUAUUGGAAGACGAUGGUGGAUUUAAUCAAGACGGCAGGCAUGCUUGAGUUUUAACCGUGAACCUGAAAGAGGGGCUAAUUAUAACCACCUUUUUAUAUGGAGCUAAUUUGACUGAAUGGAUGCAAAUGUGCUUUAUUUAUGGAUGAAGAAGCAAGCCUUACAGCAUUGACUUUGGGAUCAUCGCAUAUGCUAAGCUUUACAGCUUGCCUAAAAGUCAAGCCUACAGUACAUUUUUAUUUACCGAGAAGGUAUUUAUAUGUAAGCAUAAGCUUGCCGUACAAAAGAUUCAUCAGAACAAUGUACUAUGACAUUGAGGAUCUAAUUUUAAUUUUGCAGCUUUUCAUGUUUUCUUUAAUUUGAUGCUUUUCAACCCUUGCUUGUGCUGGGCUAUAAAUGGGACAAUAAAUGUAUGCUUUAAACUAUUGUGAUUUUGAUUGUGUAGUUUAUUAAUCGUACUGUAGUUUUCUUAACGUGUUUCUGAAUUAUUCAGCAGUAACUUAUAAUGAAAGAAGCAGCACUGGUGGGGUGGUUUUGAAUUCAUUUAUAAUCUUCUUACAGAUCUAAAUGUACAGGUUCUACCAGCCAAUGAGCUCUAUAAUUACGAAAGAAUGUUGAAAUUUUCAGAUAAAUGGGGCACUGACUUUACAAUAGGCACAAUAUUGUAUAAUCAGUAAAAGGAGGAUUGUUGUGUUUUGACUCUGUGGAGACUGUUCUUGGUUAGUUAACUCCUUCUCUGCUGAUAAUGGUAAGCAAAUGUACCUUAAACAAGAAAAUGGGAGAAGAAUGUACUGUAUUAGCUUGAUGUUUUGUUAGUCUGAGACCUUAGUAUAUUUUUUUUCUAUUUAUUUCUAUUUCUGUUACUUUUCCCUAUUUGCUUUUCUGCUUUUUGUCGCUUUUUUUCUCUCCUGUCUUGAAAUCUACAUUCCCUGAGCAACCACAGGAACCAAGUUACAUUAAGCUUCAACACAAAGACGAUGUAAGAAUAAUGAAUCCUCAUUUGCAUCGACAUUUGUAUUCAGAUUUGCCAGGCUAUAAACUUGGCAGAUCAAGCGGAAUAUUAAGUAGAGGCUUCCAUGGUAAAUUGUGACUCUUGCAAUUGCCGAGUUGUUUUUUCCUAUUUAUGUCAUUGUGUCUGUGUGCAUGUGUGUGUGUAUGUGCGUGUGUGUGUAUUUGUAUGUACAUGUGUAUAUAUGUGCAUGUAUGUGCAUAUCUGUAGUGGCAGGUAUGCUCUCAUGACUACAUGAUUUCUGAGAAGCAUGUUGGACCUCUUUCUCUUACAGUAUAUGAUGUUGGUCUGAAGCAAAAUGAAGCAGGGAUUUACCAGCAGUAAGCAUGUUAGCGGAAGAUAUAUUGUGAUAUAUAAAUAAAGUAUGAACUCCUGUGUCUAGAGACCAUGUGAAAGAUUCCUUAAAUAAAUAGAUAAAUACUAUUGUUUGAGGAAACAGAUCAUCAGCAUCAGCUGGAGGUUCGAUUUCACUGAAUCAGAAGAACACUAGAAUCCAAAGAACAACCUCUGAAAUAGCACUAAGCAUUCCUACUGCCUACAUUUAUGUGCAAUUAUAUUUGUGAUGAUAAUUAUGUAUGAAUAUAUGUUUCAUUUAGAAACUUUGGGCCUUGUGUGCCUGCUGUCAGGUGCUCUUUGGUUUGGUUGUAUUGCCUUCCGAUUUGGAGUAGUGUGUAUGAAAGCAGAGCUGGCUCUUCUCUCCCAGGGUUGGACAUUGAACCUUUUCCUUCACUUAAGUUUACUGAAUAAGAGGUGAAGUUAGUUCUAUAUUUCCCUAAAAAUUCUGCCCUUCUCUCUUGCAUAAUUCUUUUUCAUAAAGAGUAAUUGAAAAAGUGGAAGAUUGACCUUAACAUUCCCCCUUUUAACACUGUGUGAUUGAAAUUAAUUUAUGCUUGACUGUGGGGCACUUCCUCUUAUCAAUAACAGGAAUUAUUUCGGAAGCAAAAUUAAUGCUCUUAGCCAAUGGGUGCAAAAAACGUCCCAUUAACUUUAAAGUAGUUAUCUUAGGACUGCAACCAAAGGUCUUUGGAAAGAAUAUGACAUUGAACUGGGAGAUGCAGAAAACAAUCAACUAUGCAGGAAGGCAAGUAUGCCUUCUUUUUGUACAUAGCUUGUCUCUAUCACAUACAGACCCAUUUAUCAGAUAGAAUAGCAGAAUGCCGGUAAAGUCCAUAGAAUGAAUGAGUUUUUAUAACUGCUUAUAACUGACAUCUGUGUUAGAAAGCUACUACAGUAGAGAAAAAUCCUAUGGUGUUUUUUUUGUGUUUUGUUGUUGUUAUUGUUGUUUGGUUUGGUUUGUUUGUUUGUUUUUAAUAGUCCCUAAAUAAUCUUAAUUAAUAGACUUAAUCUGUGUCAGGUCUGUAGAUGACACUUUCUAUGGUGGAACAGUAACCCAUGUAAGGGCAAAUGCACCCCUGCUUCAUUAUUUAUUCGCUAUGAUUCGGAAGUUUUGAAACUUGAUUUUUUACUCUAAGGGAAAACAUGGAAUAUAAUGUCUCCUUCCUUUGAAAGAGUGUUCUGGACUACAUAUAAAAAAUGGUGCUUAAAGUAGAAAGGAAAGGUAGAAUUUAUGUAUUUACAAGCUCAUCUGCCUCAUGCAUAACAACUUGAUGAAUUAAUAUCAACAUUCAUUGCUUUGGUUUGUACUUGUGUCUACCAUUAACUGGUUUUGGAAAUUUACUCCAAGAAAGAUAACCAAAGUGGGUUUGGUUUAUUUUGAGAAGGAAGUAACAAAAUAAUAUCUCAUCAACCUUCUAAAAAGAAAAUACAGUGGAAAAGAAGGCUUGGAAUUUAACUUACAAAGCCACAGAAAAUAGCAGAUUAAAAACCUGUAAUGUUUUUUGCUGGACAUACAUUUACAACAGCUAUUUAGCAAAGAGCAAAAAAUUUUCAAAAAAUCUUUCAAAAAAUAAUUCCUGUUGUUAUUUUCCUAUAUCCUCUAUAUCAAAUUCCCAACUGUUUUCUGCCUAUGGCCACACUGAGACUAUGGCUAUUACAGAGAAUGAAGAGAUUAAUUUAAAAAUAUUUAAGCUCUAAAUACAUUAAUCAUAUUCACAAACAAAAAUUCCUGGGGGGGAAAAAAAAAAAAAAAAAAAGCAGAGAUAGAAAGCUACUGUUACAUGGGAGCGACUCCAGCCUGUACUGUGGCCUACUGUUCUUACUAUUGUUGAAUAAAAUACUGUAGUGCUACUCAUAAUGAAAGUUUUCUCUGCUAUCAUUGAACAGGAUACAGCACAUUCAACUUUAGCAUAGUAUAAAACUGUUUCAUAAUCAGUGAUCUCAAAGCCUGUUACAGCAUUUUAGUCUCAUUCACUGUUACUAAAAAAUUCAAAUUUAAAUUUAAAAAUGGAGCAGAAUUCAGUCUGUAUUGGAAAACUGAGACUUGCUGACAUCUUUAAUGAAAGAUAUCAUUUUCUGACCAAAAGAUUAUUUUGUGUAAGCUACUGUUAUGGUGAGUAUUACCCAAGGAUUGUGUUACAUAUUGGAACCUUGGUUGUCUCUCUGUCACUGGCAUAGUCUUCAAAUUGAAUUGCAGGCAUGUAUUGUAUUAAGUAGUUUUUCUUCUGUUUUCUGUUUUUCUCAUUACAAUGUGCACAUAGUGACAGUUAGAACUUAGACAGUUUAACUGUUUAUGUUAGACAGACAGUAAGCUAUUUCUCCUUCAUGUUAUUAUUUCCUAGACAUAAAGGUAAUGGAAGUGAUUUUUAAAACAAACAAAUGGACAAAUAGGUAAACCAGGAAGAGGCAACAGAUUUAUUCUGGGAAAGUGGCCUUUCCACUGACUUUUUAUAAAUAAUAGGUUUUAAAUAUCUUCUUCACAAAGUGAAACCUGUUUUUCUCCUGCUCUGUGGUUAGUUUUGUGGUCUGUCUUUUGAGACUCCAUUGGUAAUCUCAGAUUGUGCAUGCUGCGGUUCUCUUCAACUAAUUGACAAGAUUUUCUAGUUUUGCUAAAGACUUUGCUGGGAGGAUGUAGCCCACUGUAAUGUGCUUUUACUCUACUUUGGCCAACCAUCUUUUCUUCAGCAAAAUAAAUAUGUUUUCAAUAUAAAAAACUGUAACAUGGUGAAGCUUUUAAUUUAAUUGCUAGGAGUGAGUUAGAAGGUUGUUACUGCACUAUUUUCAGGUUAAAACAGUCCUUUGGUUUCUAAAGCCAAAAUUAUAAUGACUCUGAAUAUUGUUCGUUAAUGAAUAAACUGGAUAUGCACAAAAUUCCCUCAGAUCUACAAUAUCUUUCUAUGAUUUGCUACUUAUUUUAUCUUGUAUCAAUUUACACUGUAAACCUGUAAUUUUUGUUUGUAUAACAUCCAGUGUAAUAAGAUCCAAUUCUGAUCAGUAUCUUAUCCUAAAUAAUAAUAGAAAUGUACUGUUGUAGACAAUAGGCAAGUUUUCCAAAGAGGUUGUUUAUUUGCAUAAUCAAUGGCAUCUCAUUUAAGUGAUUACUGCUUUUGAUAAAGUUAUGAGGUCAUUAAUUGUGCUUUUACUUUCAUUGGGAAUUUUGCUUAAUGAGAACAGAUUUUGGUGAAAGGUCAGCUCUCUGAAAAUCAUGACAACUUAUUUUCAUUAUCAUCAUGGUGAGUCAGAGAGCAACACAUAAGCCUCUUGACUGCAUCAAACUUGGCCAUCUCUCUGGCUGAAAUCACCACUUGCAUAACAAAACUCAACAACUGAGCUCAGUGAAAGACUGAAGAAAGGAGAAUUUAACUUCUGAAUUUUAGCUUACUACAGUACAGAAAUGAGAGGUGGUGGGAAAUUUUCUGUGAAAUGGAGAAGGAAUAACUGGAUGCUGAUAAAAUGUGCAAAGAGAUGGGAAACUGAACAAUAUUUUUACUUUUAACCUGAUGUCUAUAGUUGAAAGAAAAAACAAGAAGCAGAACAGAAAUGCCAGUCACUUCAACUUGCAAUGUGUAACUACCAGUUUUGACUGGAUCCAUAAUAUACACUGGGACCUGCAAUGAAUCAUGCCACACAGAAGUGGUCAUAGGCUGCAGAAGAUAAAUCUAAUGACAUGUCAGCUAUUACUAAUUUAGGGCUGCUUGUUUCUGGUCUUUGUAAUGUAAGUUGGAGUUUUUCUGUGGACUACUUUGGGAGCCAUAUUUGAUCUUACACAGAAAACAUAAAAGUUGCUUGUGCUACACAAUGCCAUAGUCUUAAACACUGACAAGGAGGUUGCAUUUUAAACUUCUGAAACAUUCUGAGACAUAUUUAUGGUAUCAUUUUCAAUUUAAAGUUUGCUCAUCCUACUCUAAGUAGUUUCCCAUUAAUAGUAAACUUUGUAAUUUACCCCAUACAUUAGAGAAGUACUUGAUUUUUCCUUUCAGUAAAUUAAAGGUUUUGCAAUAAAUAUUCUCUAUACAAAAAAUAAAGUGAUCUCAAAAACA